rnacentral:rRNA from 1 species
UGACGGAGCACGCCGCGUGAGUGAUGAAGGUUUUCGGAUCGUAAAGCUCUGUUGUUAGGGAAGAACAAGUGCGAGAGUAACUGCUCGCACCUUGACGGUACCUAACCAGAAAGCCACGGCUAACUACGUGCCAGCAGCCGCGGUAAUACGUAGGUGGCAAGCGUUGUCCGGAAUUAUUGGGCGUAAAGGGCUCGCAGGCGGUUUCUUAAGUCUGAUGUGAAAGCCCCCGGCUCAACCGGGGAGGGUCAUUGGAAACUGGGAAACUUGAGUGCAGAAGAGGAGAGUGGAAUUCCACGUGUAGCGGUGAAAUGCGUAGAGAUGUGGAGGAACACCAGUGGCGAAGGCGACUCUCUGGUCUGUAACUGACGCUGAGGAGCGAAAGCGUGGGGAGCGAACAGGAUUAGAUACCCUGGUAGUCCACGCCGUAAACGAUGAGUGCUAAGUGUUAGGGGGUUUCCGCCCCUUAGUGCUGCAGCUAACGCAUUAAGCACUCCGCCUGGGGAGUACGGUCGCAAGACUGAAACUCAAAGGAAUUGACGGGGGCCCGCACAAGCGGUGGAGCAUGUGGUUUAAUUCGAAGCAACGCGAAGAACCUUACCAGGUCUUGACAUCCUCUGACAACCCUAGAGAUAGGGCUUUCCCUUCGGGGACAGAGUGACAGGUGGUGCAUGGUUGUCGUCAGCUCGUGUCGUGAGAUGUUGGGUUAAGUCCCGCAACGAGCGCAACCCUUGAUCUUAGUUGCCAGCAUUCAGUUGGGCACUCUAAGGUGACUGCCGGUGACAAACCGGAGGAAGGUGGGGAUGACGUC